GAGGGGAUAGCUCAGUGGUAGAGUGCCUGCUUAGCAUGCACAAGGUUCUGGGUUCAAUCCCUAGUACAUCCA
rfam:Camelus ferus unplaced genomic scaffold scaffold1533, whole genome shotgun sequence.